rnacentral:rRNA from 1 species
GAUGAACGCUAGCGGGAUGCUUAACACAUGCAAGCCGAGGGAGAAGUUGUUUUCGUACAACGGACACCGUCGGACGGGUGAGGAACAUGUAUGCAACUUUCCUCUAUCAGUGGGAUAACCCGGGGAAACCCGGACUAAUGCCGCAUAACAAAUGUAUCAUCAUUGAUUUAUUUUAAAAGAUUUAUCGGAUAGAGAUAGGCAUGCGUAGGAUUAGUUAGUUGGUUAGGUCACGUCUCACCAAGACGAUGAUCCUUAGGGGGCCUGAGAGGGUGAUCCCCCAGACUGGUACUGAGACACGGACCAGAAUGCUACGGGAGGCAGCAGUGAGGAAUAUUGGAGAAUGGGUGAGAGCCUGAUCCAGCCAUCCCGCGUGCAGGAAGACGGCCCUAUGGGUUGUAAACUGCUUUUAUACAGGAAUAAACCUACUCACGUGUGAGUAGUUGAAGGUACUGUAAGAAUAAGCAUCGGCUAACUCCGUG